rnacentral:rRNA from 1 species
AUUGAACGCUGGCGGCAGGCCUAACACAUGCAAGUCGAACGAGUGGCGGAAGGGUGAGUAAUGUCUGGGAAACUGCCUGAUGGAGGGGGAUAACUACUGGAAACGGUAGCUAAUACCGCAUACCAUCAGAUGUGCCCAGAUGGGAUUAGCUAGUUGGUGGGGUAACGGCGCACCAAGGCGACGGUCCCUAGCUGGUCUGAGAGGAUGACCAGCCACACUGGAACUAGGACACGGUCCAGACGCGUACGGGAGGCAGCGGUGGGGAAUAUUGACCAAUGGGAGCAAGCCUGAUAAAGCCAUGCCGCGGGUAUGAAGAAGGCCUUCGGGUUGUAAAGUACUUUCAGCGGGGAGGCGUUACCCGCAGAAGAAGCACCGGCUAACACCGUGCCAGCAGCCGCGGUAAUAC